rfam:Myotis lucifugus cont2.49814, whole genome shotgun sequence.
GGUGGUUCUUGGGUGACGCACCCAGAAUCGGGCUCCCUAUUCUCUGGUGCCGGGGUGCGUCACCCAAGAACCGCC